GCCUGAGCAGCUGAACAGAGCGAUAAUGGGGAGGAAAUGGCUGAGACCUUUCUGAGCCCAGCCCCAGCUCUUUGGCAUUCUACCCUCCUCACUUCUGGGACCUGAGGGGCAGGGUCAGUAAAACAGUUGCUCAAGAGGAAAAGCAGGCUGGAUCCCUGAACGCUAACUGACAUCCUGCUUUUCUUAAGGGAUAUGGAAAUUUCCCUGGGACAGCUGUGCUCUGCUGGCUAAGGAGCCCACAAGGUUAAUGAACACCCACAAAGACUGAGGAGGAUAGAGAGCAUUCUUCACUGGAUGAUUAGCAUGCCAGCAUUCUUUCCUCUGUGGUAAUGAUGGUCAAGAAGGUGCCUGGUGAUAGAAGGGAGAAUGAAG
rnacentral:lncRNA from 1 species